GAUGAACGCUGGCGGCGUGCUUAACACAUGCAAGUCGAACGAUGAUGCCCAGCUUGCUGGGUGGAUUAGUGGCGAACGGGUGAGUAACACGUGAGUAACCUGCCCUUGACUCUGGGAUAAGCCUGGGAAACUGGGUCUAAUACCGGAUACGACCAUCUGGCGCAUGUCAUGGUGGUGGAAAGCUUUUGUGGUUUUGGAUGGACUCGCGGCCUAUCAGCCUGUUGGUGGGGUAAUGGCCUACCAAGGCGACGACGGGUAGCCGGCCUGAGAGGGUGACCGGCCACACUGGGACUGAGACACGGCGCAGACUCCUACGGGAGGCAGCAGUGGGGAAUAUUGCACAAUGGGCGCAAGCCUGAUGCAGCGACGCCGCGUGAGGGAUGACGGCCUUCGGGUUGUAAACCUCUUUCAGUAGGGAAGAAGCGAAAGUGACGGUACCUGCAGAAGAAGCGCCGGCUAACUACGUG
rnacentral:rRNA from 1 species